rnacentral:lncRNA from 1 species
AAAAAGUUCUAACUCUAAUAUAAUACUAACUAAAUUCUAAUUAGACCAUAACAUUACUAAGCAUGCUUUAAUCAAAUUCAAAGAAACCUCAAAGGAAUUACAAAGAAAUAAUAAGAAAUCUUAAAAAAAUAUUAGAAUACUUACAAACAUAUCUCAAAUACAUCUCAAUUUAAUCUUAAUUUAAUUCUUAUUGAAAUCCUAUUGGACUUCAUUCAAUUUUUAGGCCAAAAACUAACUAAAUCUUAAAUCCUAAACAAACUCAAAUAAAAUCCUAAACCCUAAAUCAAAUCUUGAUCAAACCUUAAUCAAAUCUUAAAUCCUAAACCAAGCUCUAAAUCCUAAACCAAAUCCUAAAUCCUAAAUCAAAUCCUAAACAACCCUAAAUCAAACCCUAAAUCCUAAAUCCUAAUUCUAAAUCAAACCCUAACCCUGAACCAAAUCCUAACCAAAUCCUAAUCUUAAAUAAAAUCUUAACUAAAUCCUAAAUUACAAAUCAAAUCCUAAUCAAAUCCUAAUCCUAAAUCAAAUCCUAACUAAAUCCUUAUCCUAAAUCAAAUCCUAAUCAAACCCUAAACCUUAAAUCAAACCCUAAUAAUUUCUAAAACAAAUUUAAACCUCAAAAACUAAUGAAUGAACCAUUGAUCUUAACUCAAAAUUUGCAAGCUUCUUAAAAA